rnacentral:rRNA from 1 species
GACAGAGGGUGCAAACGUUGUUCGGAAUUACUGGGCGUAAAGCGCACGUAGGCGGGUCGUUAAGUCAGGGGUGAAAUCCCAGAGCUCAACUCUGGAACUGCCUUUGAUACUGGCGACCUAGAGUUCGGAAGAGGUUAGUGGAAUUCCCAGUGUAGAGGUGAAAUUCGUAGAUAUUGGGAAGAACACCAGUGGCGAAGGCGGCUAACUGGUCCGAUACUGACGCUGAGGUGCGAAAGCGUGGGGAGCAAACAGG